GUCCAUUUUGGAUCCAUAAACUUUUUAAUUCAUUUCAUUUUGGUCCUUGAAAGUUUGAGAUGUUACUUACAAAGUGAAUUUGGCUUUAAACUUGGGCACUUAGAUUACAUAUUUUGUCUCACUGUAGAUCAAUGUCAAUGAAGAUAUGUAUGAUCUUCAGGCGUAUCUGAACUGUGUCGUUGACGAGUCUAGAAAAAUCUGAGGAUAAGGAAAAGAUUUGUUUUUGCUUUAUCAUUGAUUCUGGAAAAUCUCAUCUCACUGCUGUUAUUGCACGGAAGUGGCUGAACAGCAACAAACACUUGCUCUAAUUUCUGCUUGCUAACAACGAAUAAAGGUUAGUAUAUCUAUGAUUUUUGUUUCAGCGACAAUUGACCUUCAAUAUCUCUUUAAAGACAUGUUAUUGUUGACUUAGAACAUAAACUUUCGUGAUUUUACUUUUGGUUUCACCCAAAAAAAACCUCGUACUAAUAGAGAUGAUUGCAUUCUGACA